rnacentral:rRNA from 1 species
AGAGUGAACGCUGGCGGUAGGCCUAACACAUGCAAGUCGAACGGCAGCACGGUAAGAGCUUGCUCUUAUGGGUGGCGAGUGGCGGACGGGUGAGGAAUACAUCGGAAUCUACCUUUUGGUGGGGGAUAACGUAGGGAAACUUACGCUAAUACCGCAUACGCCCUUCGGGGGAAAGCCGGGGACCAGCAAUGGCCUGGCGCUGAUAGAUGAGCCGAUGUCGGAUUAGCUAGUUGGUGAGGUAAUGGCUCACCAAGGCGACGAUCCGUAGCUGGUCUGAGAGGAUGAUCAGCCACACUGGAACUGAGACACGGUCCAGACUCCUACGGGAGGCAGCAGGUGGGGGAAUAGUUGGACAAGUGGGGCG